rnacentral:rRNA from 1 species
AUUGAACGCUGGCGGCAGGCCUAACACAUGCAAGUCGAACGAGUGGCGGACGGGUGAGUAAUGUCUGGGAAACCGCCUGAUGGAGGGGGAUAACUACUGGAAACGGUAGCUAAUACCGCAUACCAUCGGAUGUGCCCAUAUGGGAUUAGCUAGUAGGGGGGGUAAAGGCUCACCUAGGCGACGAUCCCUAGCUGGUCUGAGAGGGUGACCGGCCAGCCUGGAAGUGAGACACGGUCCGAACUCCUACGGGAGGCGGCAGUGGGGAAUAUUGCACAAUGGGCGCAGGCCUAAUGCAGCCAUACCGCGUGUAUGAAGAAGGCCUUCGGGUUGUAAAGUACUUUCAGCGGGGAGGCGUUACCCGCAGAAGAAGCACCGGCUAACUCCGUGCCAGCAGCCGCGGUAAUUC